rnacentral:rRNA from 1 species
AGAUUGAACGCUGGCGGCGUGCCUAACACAUGCAAGUCGAGCGGUAACAGGUGUAGCAAUACAUGCUGACGAGCGGCGAACGGGUGAGUAAUGCUUUGGAAUCUUCCCAGUAGUGGGGAAUAACCAGUCGAAAGAUUGGCUAAUACCGCAUACGUCUGUAAAGGGAAAGCGGGGGCUCGUAAGACCUCGCGCUAUUGGAUGAGCCAAAGUCGGAUUAGCUUGUUGGUGGGGUAAUGGCCUACCAAGGCGACAAUCCGUAGCUGGUCUGAGAGGACGACCAGCCACACCGGAACUGAGACACGGUCCGGACUCCUACGGGAGGCAGCAGUGGGGAAUAUUGGACAAUGGGGGAAACCCUGAUCCAGCGACGCCGCGUGUGUGAAGAAGGCCUGCGGGUUGUAAAGCACUUUUAGUGGGGACAAAAGCUACGGAUUAAUACUCUGUGGUCUUGAUUUAACCCAAAGAAAAGCACCGGCUAACUCUGCGCCAGCAGCCGCGGUAA